CCAUGAGCUAAAAUGGUCCCAACCAAAAAAUUAAAACUGCUCAUCUAAAACGGACACCUUCAAGCUCAAGCGAAAUGAGCAGCUGUCAACAUGGACAAGCCAAAUAUCUCCUGGAUAACAGUUUGUCAAAAGAGACACCUUACUUGGUGUAGUUAUCGAUGUAACGUUUAAAUAACAGAGUCGUUGUUGAUAAACACCCUCUUGUAUAUUCGUUUCUUUGACGAAUUUUUUCCUGGCUAAAGUGCGUCGAUGAAUGGAGUCUUGGUCCACAUAAGCCUGGCAGCUUCGGAGGAGUCCAACUGGGAUUGAGCUCAACUUUGUGCCGAGAACGUGGACUCAGCUACAAGUUGGAGAGCGCUCAUUAGAGCCAGACUGUGGCGGCUCAGCUCAUAUCCUCCAACGGAGCCGGACCUCACUGAGAGGAAACAUGAGCAACCAGAGCUCCACCCUGCAGCCUGGAAUGAGAAAUACAGUGAGGCCGCUGAUUAGCCCUCGCUGCCAAUAAGAGCUGAGGCAGGCCUGAACCCGGGCAGAAGGAAAACAAAGAGGAGAAACCGUGGCAUGCAUGUUGACUGGAGGAGUAGACCCUCCGGAGGAGGAGCGUGGAGACAGACGAGAAUGUUUGAAUGUUUUCCAGAAUGACUGGAUGAAGUGUGACGUGCUUUCAGCUAAAAGCACCAGCUUUCCACAGACACUAGUUACCACAAAAUGUCUGCUGGUGGGAACAAAGAGCUUUACACAAUCUGUUCUCUCAGAAGUCCUGCAUCACUGUGGUUUCUCAUAUUUUUAUAUCAAUAUCACUUGUAAGAGCAACUUUUUACAAAAUGUCCUUCAUACAGGGUGUAAAAAUGUGUAGUUGUGACUUCAACCUGUUGAGUUUUUGCAUUUUUACAACUGGCUGAUUUGUUAGUACAAUAUCACAAAACCAG